rnacentral:rRNA from 1 species
GAUGAACGCUGGCGGCGUGCCUAAUACAUGCAAGUCGAGCGAACAGACGAGGAGCUUGCUCCUCUGACGUUAGCGGCGGACGGGUGAGUAACACGUGGAUAACCUACCUAUAAGACUGGGAUAACUUCGGGAAACCGGAGCUAAUACCGGAUAAUAUAUUGAACCGCAUGGUUCAAUAGUGAAAGACGGUUUUGCUGUCACUUAUAGAUGGAUCCGCGCCGCAUUAGCUAGUUGGUAAGGUAAUGGCUUACCAAGGCAACGAUGCGUAGCCGACCUGAGAGGGUGAUCGGCCAAACUGGAACUGAGACACGGUCCAGACUCCUACGGGAGGCAGCAGUAGGGAAUCUUCCGCAAUGGGCGAAAGCUUGACGGAGCAACGCCGCGUGAGUGAUGAAGGUCUUCGGAUCGUAAAACUCUGUUAUUAGGGAAGAACAAAUGUGUAAGUAACUAUGCACGUCUUGACGGUACCUAAUCAGAAGGCCACGGCUAACUACGUG